rnacentral:sRNA from 1 species
CUUACCUGCAACACAGCAUUGACCGCAAGCCUCUGCUUGGAUUGAGAAUGCAUAGUAUGCAACUAUGCUUUUCUUUUUUUAUUUUAGUCUGCUUUGCUCUCCACUGCUCACAUACCUCAUCGACGAAAACAGCGAAGAAAAGAAUGCAUGUAACCACAGAUGGAAAAAGGGGGGCCCCCNGUCUUGGUCCUUUAGAGGAAGUAAAAGUCGUAACAAGGUCUCCGUUGGUGAACCAGCGGAGGGAUCAUUACUGAGUUCCAGCAACUCCCAACCCGUGCAAACAUACCGCAUCUUCCAGCGCCCGUUGCCUCCCGGUGGGCGGCGCCCUCCCUCUGGGGGGGGACCGCCCGCCGGGGGCUGCGCGGCCGUUCCAGAACGCAUUGCAGUCUUUAGUGCCUGUCUGAGCAGACCACAGAAUCGUUAAAACUUUCAACAACGGAUCUCUUGGUUCUGGCAUCGAUGAAGAACGCAGCGAACUGCGAUAAGUAAUGUGAAUUGCAGAAUUCAGCGAACCAUCGAAUCUUUGAACGCACAUUGCGCCCGCCAGCAUUCUGGCGGGCAUGCCUGUCCGAGCGUCAUUUCCACCCUCACGCGCCCCGGCGCGUGGUGUUGGGGCAUGCUGCGGCGGCCGCGAGGCCCCGCAGGCCCCUAAAGCCAGUGGCGGGCCGGCAGCGGGCUCCGAGCGCAGUAAGCAGAAACGCCCUCGCUCUGGACGCCCCCGCCGGCUCCCGCCUACAGCGGAAGCUGACCCCCAUCGCAAGGUUGACCUC